ACACGCUGCUUAGAAGAGUAAAACACCAGAUUGUACCUUUGAGGAUAAUUAUAACAGUACUGGUGUUUGUUUUCCUGCUAAUAUUACAAUAAGGGCAGAGUUGUUUCAUGAAAAACCAGCAUUUAUUGUUAAAUACAAUCACCAUGGCAACAGCAUCAUCUUUUAAAAGCAUAGGGUAAAAAGAGAAAGUCCAACAUCCAGCAAUUUAUUCAGUGUUUGAAAGCGGCCGUAUCAGCUCUCUGAUAGGGGCAUUUUUUCACCAUGCCCCGUCAGAUGCAUUUUAUUUAAAGCCGUCCUGCGCCUGCUGUUAGUAUAGAAAUGAUCUGACUUUUGCUCUGCCUGAUUGUCGGGGUUAAUAGAAGAAUCCCGAGCUGGUUUAUCUUGUACUUGCGAGGCACACAGCAAUGACACAGGCAUGAACUGGGGUUUCUGUUCCUUCCUUUGCCUCGAUCAUGGCGUCCAUACAGAAAACAGACACACAUCAAGAUCUGAGUCAAGUGUGGUCAGCUGUGUUUUGGCUGAGAAAAAGCAGCAUUUGGCUCUGUUUGCUGUUACAGCUGAGUAUUUCUAGUUUCCCCUCGAGUGAUUCUGACAGAAAAAUGAAAAUAUUUCUUUAAGCAGUGAUUUGUAAACCUGGCUUCAUAAUAAAUAUAUUUAGGACCGUAAUAGCCCGAAGAUAGUCUUGUGACUGGAAGGUUGCCAAUUCAAGUCCUUGGGUCCUUGGAUGAAAACAGCAGUAACACUCUUUUCUUCACCUCCUCUAUAUUAAAGUAAGUGAAGCACAGACUGCUCUGCUGCUGUUUGGCUGCACAGGAGGAGACUGUAAUUACAGUGAGCAGCUCCCAGGUGUGAGUGUGAAGCAGGAUGAGAAAAGAGCAUCGUGCUCAGUUGGUGUUCCAUGGACGAAUAAAAGCUCAAAAGAAAAUAGCUGGUGGUGCAGUGGUUAGUGCGUGUGUCCCAUGUAUGGAGGCUGUAGUCUUCCGAGCGGGCGGCCCAGGUUCAAAUCCGACCUGUAGCUCCAUUUUCGUUCCCCACUCUCUCUCUCCCAUGUCUGACUCUAUCCACUGUUCUUACUCUCAAAUAAAGGCACAAAAUGCCCCAAAAUAAAAGCUAGAAGAAAAUAGAAGUAAGAAAAAAACAAAAUAAACAUCACAAACAAAUAAUAAAAAGACAAUAACAGUCUGGAUACAAUAUGGGACAAGAAGGAAAAAAAAGAUGAAGGCAGCCUGAACUCAGAUACGGCAUCCACAGCAGGUGAGAGAAGAAGAAUAACAAAAAGCUUAGAAGACCAAUUAUGCUCAUCUCCUGCUCUAUAUUUUUAUUCUCAGAUUCCAGUGGAGCAGCUUUGCACAAUUACCAUCACAAUAUUUUUAAUGGGCCAAAUAUGCAGCCUCUCAGGUCGUACUUUUUCUUGUCAGAUUUGCCCUACUGUGCUGUGAUUGGUUAAUAUUGGCGGUCUCAAAGUUUUUGCACUCAGGGUGUUUCUUCCAGGAAAAGAGAUUGCUGUUUGUGCCCUGUGCAGAAGUCCAUGUUGACUCAUUGAUUUGGCCCAAUCAUUGAACUUAUCCUAAAACCAAACCAAGAAAAGUUGGUGACAAACUUUGUGUUUCUCACAGUUUUUAUCACUUUGUUAGGUUAAUGAAGAUUACUUGAUUAAUGCUAACAGAUAAGGUCAUAGGACAAUUAGUUUUAAAUGAACGACAGUCCCUUGAUACUGGUGUUUUUUGUUUGUUUGUUUUUGUUUGUUAUUGCCUUGUGUGUUAUCUUGAAUAUUUUCAAAUCUGUUUUUCUGAUGGAUUCCAAAGUCUGUCAAUAAAGAUGAUGAUGAUGAUGAUGAUGAUGAUGAUAGGAAGUCCUGAGCGGGUGAACUGGAGCAUCACUGCACCAAGAAAUCUACAGCUAGCUGAAGUCAGUUUGCUGCAGACAUGUCUUUAUAUAGUCAUUUCAACAAAAAGUAAAAGUCUCUCUUGUGUAAUAUUUGCUUGAAUUGAAAUGCAGAAGUGAAGGUUAAAAGAAGAAGAGAACAUUGUUUUCCUCAGUAUCGACUCUCUUCAUUUAGCUGAACUACAGCAGAGUGUCUUCAGGGCAGCAGAGAUAGAUAUAUAUGAUAUGCUGUCAGAUAAUAUUGCUUCAAGCAUAAUAUAUACUUAGCUAACUAUUGGCAUAAGAAGUUAGCCUCCAAGCAAAUUACACAUAAUCAAUGAUGCAGAAAAAGCAAUCACUAGUGGAGUUUGUUUGCUUGACAGAUUAGCUUAGAGCAAUUGCAGAGUAGUCACAGGUCCACGCCCAACACCUUUAUCCAUCACUCACAGUAACAUGAUCAAUUCUCUUUCCCUUUUUUAAGUCUACUAAUAAUAGACUAAAUGGCUCUGCUAUCAUCUGUGCAGGCCCUCUUUUCCUGUAUCACUCUAAUUUUCCAGACUACCCUAAAAAGAAAAUAGUUAGUGAAGAAGACUCACAUCAAAAGAUGCAAUUAGAUCAAACAGUUCUGGCUUUGGGCACUCAGUGAAUCCGGUGUUUUUUGCCCUAAAAAAGCUGAUUUUAGUGAUAAAUAGUUCACACAAAUCAGGCUGCCGAAAAUCUCCUAGGAUUUAUUUACUGUCGUCGCUUUUUCUGACCCUGGAAGUGAAAUAAAGCUUUAAAAAGAAGAGCCAGCACAUGAAACUUUGGCACAUUGCUAUUCAGUCUGUUAUCUGCCCAUCACAAAAUGCUGAAAUAUUUGGAAAGGAUUGAGGGAUGGUGAAAUGUAGAGCAUAAGACUGAUAAUCCCCUUAUCAGUGGAUCGACCUCUUCUUCUUUAGCUCGGGCUUUCUGGACAUAUUUAUUACCACAGUGAACAGCAGCAGCACAGGCUGAAAGCUGAGCUGCAGAUUAAGGAGGCUUAAAUACAGUCCCAGGAAAUCUAUAGCACAAAUAGGUGUUUUAUGUGUGUGUGUUUCUUCAGAGUGCAGAAAGGGGGGGGGGGGGGGAGCUGGCAGAUAGUGAAGUAUUAAAGGCAACAGUAAACAGACUGUAUUGAAUGGAGACAGAUAAUAGAACACAACGUGAAGCCUGAUACUUGUGUGUGUUUAUCGAAUAAAACGCCUUUGUUGUGCCUUCACUGUGAGUGUUUCUGCACGUGUGUGCACCACACUGACAUGAACACUACCUACAGCUACACUGCCCAUCAUUGUUGAGAGUUCCCAUGAGGACGUGGUCAUUCAAGGUAAAAUAUUUAUUCUGCUCAGAAGGCACAGCAAAUGCUUCCUCACAGUUUAUGACAGACUGGAAGCAAUUGUUUGCUCAGUUUUUAUUUACCGCAGUUUGUGUGUGAGACAGAAAGUCCAUGGAAACCCUCAUGUAAGCACUCCUGUGGCUCCCCUCCCAUAGUAUAAAAAGCUAACAUUAAGCCAUGCCCUGGUCCCUCAUUGUGACACCCCUCCCCUGUGAGCAUCUAAAGGACUCCCAUGUCAGUAAAAAACACACCAGCUGCAUUAAGCAACCGUCCCUCCAUCAAAAAAACAAACAAUGAUAAUAAAAAAAAACCCUGAACUGGGCUCCAGGCUGAGGAGAUAAAAACAAAAUCACAUGGAGACACCUGAAAAACUGACAUCAGCAAUUAAAUCAAGCGCUCGUAACACGUAUUCCCGGGGGUGUUGUGCAACAAUCUCUCCCGUAUGUUCUCACAGUGACUUUGCUCUUGUGAUGACUCUGAAAGCGCUGCGUUAAGAGAGCUGGAUGUUGUGACACAUGCUCUAAUUUCUCACCAGAUGAAAGGCUUAGUAGAUUUCCCUUGCUGGAUUGUGUCUUCAUUUAAGCGGUGUCAUGUGAAAUGGUGGUAGCCAUAUUAAAAAAACUUUGAGCUGAGAAUAAUGAGGGUCUUUUGGGGCCACUGAUGAGCUGAGGUAGAUUAGAAGAAGGCCACAGUACGGCAGUAGGUGAAGAGUAAAAAACACUUUCACAUGAGAGUGAAUAUUUUCCAGUUUUCUACAAAUUCUACAAUUCACUUAUCAGACGCUUUUAUCCAAAGCGACGUACAUCAGAGAGUAAGUACAACACAAGCAAGGAUCUAGAAAAAAGGGAACAAUGUCAGUAAGAGCAAACGAUCAGCUUUGAGUCUGAUUGGACACACAGGUGCUGACAGGAAGUGACCAGAGGUAAAGCACAACAUUGAGGGCAGUUCUUGAGAGCUCUAAUCAGUAUAGAAACCAUCUUAUAAGUCGUCGUUAUCAAACAAAAACCAUCGUCACAACCAUCAUCAUCAUCAAUAAUAUGGAGACCAUCAUCAUUAAGUUAGUAGGUAUUCAUGAAAGAGCUGGGUCUUUAGCUUUUUCUUAAAGGUGCAGAGAGACUCUGCAGAUCACAUGGAGUUUGGAAGUUCAUUCAUGCGACAGAGGAGAAGAGUCUAGUCAGAGUUUUAAAAGUGUUUCUGAUAAAUACAUGGACUUACAAUCACAUGGAAGGAAGAACUCUUCAGUAAAGAGUUAGAACACUUUAACAGCAUUAUGAAUAUUAUAUGUCCAUUUAAACAUAGCUGGCAUAAAACAUUGUGUUUUUGAAUCAUCAGGGGGUCAUUGUUCACUUGAUAUUUCAACAUUAUUUAUUUUUGAAAUGUAUAAUGGAGCUCAGCUUAAGUUCAGACAGGAAGACUGGCUUAUAUUCUUUCACAAAUUCAUUCAUCCUUUCACUUCAACCUAAACUACUUCCUCUGUCUACCUGCUCUGGUGAUCAGCUCAUAAUGGGCGUUUAUUAUUUAAGUAAUUAACCAACCAGAUUUGGGCACAACCUCUCUCAACCAAUCAUCCUGCUGCAGCAAAAUGCUAAAACAGUUCUCUCUCUUCCACAGUCAUCCUGUCAUUUCAGGGCAAGCGCUGCAACCCACCACUGCCCCAGUCACCUCCAUUCCAGCUCAGCAGAGUCCAGAUUCAGGCUCAGCACAGCCUCCAUUCCUCUUCACCACCACCAGUGUCUAGACUCCAUAGGGGGGUAUCCUAUCCUGCUGUCGGCCUCAUUACCCCUCAGAGUACAUGAAGUCGUCACGAUGGAGUCUAAUCCCCCAAAGACUUUGUACAUUCAAAUCUAAAUUGUUGCACAUUUAUUGUUAAAUAAAUAAUUGUUCAUUCUCAAUUAAGUCUCUCCUGAUUGAACUGGUCUUGCAGAACCAGAUCUCUUGAUUUGGGGUCCAGCUCAGGGGGUCCUGCCUGCUGUCCUACAUCAAUCAGUGAUAUGUGCUGGAAUCUUACCUGUAAAUGUCUCUGGCCAUCCCAAAAUCUCCAAUCUUUGCCAUGCGGCCCGAUCCUUUGCAGGUACUGGCAGCCCUUAGCGAUGUCUCUGGCCACGUUGAGAAGGUCCACCAUGCUCAGGCUGGACGGGUGCUCCUGAUCACACACAGCACAAGUGAGAAAGAGAAGAACAGUGUGCAUUGGAGUGAGCGUAACACAGCAGUAUGUCUCACCAGCCGGGGUCUGGUCUCCCUCAGGAAAGUCUUCAAGUCUCCACCGGUCAUCAGCUCCAGCAGGAUGAACCGUGGCAUGGCCUGCAG